GCCACCACGAGAGGUGGGGACUCAGGCGGGACCGCCGGUGACAAACCGGAGGAAGGUGGGGACGGACGUCAAGUCAUCAUGGCCCUUAUGUCCUGGGCUACACACGUGCUACAAUGGCCGGUACAGAGCGCAGCGAGGCCGCGAGGCGGAGCGAAUCGCUUAAAGCCGGUCCCAGUACGGAUUGGAGUCUGCAACCCGACUCCAUGAAGUUGGAAUCGCUAGUAAUCGCGCAUCAGCAUGGCGCGGUGAAUACGUUCCCGGGCCUU
rnacentral:rRNA from 1 species